GAUUAACGCUGGCGGCAUGCCUUAUGCAUGCAAGUAGAACGGGUCUCGCAAGAGAUUAGUUGCGAACGGCUGAGUAAUGGAUAGGAAUCUCCCAAUUGGUGUGGAAUACCUCAUCGAAAGAUGAGCUAAUACCGCAUAAGUCCGCAAGGGGAAAGCGCUUCACUGCGCGCCGAUUGAUGAGCCUAUCUCCCAUCAGGCUGUUGGUAGGGUAAUGGCCUACCAAACCUAUGACGGGUACCCGCCCUGAGAGGACGACCAGCCACACUGGGACUGAGACACGGCCCAGACUCCUACGGGAGGCAGCAGUGGGGAAUUUUGAACAAUGGGCGCAAGCCUAAUCCAGCCAUGCCGCGUGCGGGAAGAAGGCCUUCGGGUUGUAAACCGCUUUUGUCAGGGAAGAAAAGACUCCUGUUAAUACCGGGGGUUCAUGACGGUACCUGAAGAAUAAGCACCGGCUAACUACGUGCCAGCCGCCGCAGUAA
rnacentral:rRNA from 1 species